rnacentral:rRNA from 1 species
AACUUCCGUUAAUUGAUUAUGACGUACUUGUACUGAUUGAGAUUUUAACACGAAGUGAGUGGCGAACGGGUGAGUAACACGUGGGUAACCUGCCCAGAAGUAGGGGAUAACACCUGGAAACAGAUGCUAAUACCGUAUAACAGAGAAAACCGCAUGGUUUUCUUUUAAAAGAUGGCUCUGCUAUCACUUCUGGAUGGACCCGCGGCGUAUUAGCUAGUUGGUGAGGUAAAGGCUCACCAAGGCAGUGAUACGUAGCCGACCUGAGAGGGUAAUCGGCCACAUUGGGACUGAGACACGGCCCAGACUCCUACGGGAGGCAGCAGUAGGGAAUCUUCCACAAUGGACGCAAGUCUGAUGGAGCAACGCCGCGUGAGUGAAGAAGGGUUUCGGCUCGUAAAGCUCUGUUGUUAAAGAAGAACGUGGGUAAGAGUAACUGUUUACCCAGUGACGGUAUUUAACCAGAAAGCCACGGCUAACUACGUGCCAGCAGCCGCGGUAAUACGUAGGUGGCAAGCGUUAUCCGGAUUUAUUGGGCGUAAAGCGAGCGCAGGCGGUCUUUUAAGUCUAAUGUGAAAGCCUUCGGCUCAACCGAAGAAGUGCAUUGGAAACUGGGAGACUUGAGUGCAGAAGAGGACAGUGGAACUCCAUGUGUAGCGGUGAAAUGCGUAGAUAUAUGGAAGAACACCAGUGGCGAAGGCGGCUGUCUGGUCUGCAACUGACGCUGAGGCUCGAAAGCAUGGGUAGCGAACAGGAUUAGAUACCCUGGUAGUCCAUG